UGUGUUCUUCACUAGUAUACAUAUACUAGUGUACAACAGUCUGGCCAAUAUGGGCUCAAUACCAAAGUGAUUUGUAAAAUGAUUCUGUGAUUUUUCCAUUAUAAUAAAUUAAGAAAAGCAGGUCUUAAUAAAACUUUACAAUCAGUGUAGGAAUACCUAUUUAGCUCUUCACUUCCAUAAGCACCAUCCAUUUUAAUUUAUGUACUUAUUCUCCCAUCAAGGAAGAUUCUGAACUUUUGAGGAUUGGCCUUUAUCUGCCCUGAACCUCGAACAUUCCACUGUAUCUUAAUGAAACGGAGGUUCUGUUCUUUCUGCCCAGGGCUUCUGAUAAGUGUUUGCAGACUGUGUAAACUUCUGAAUAAUAACUUUCAGUGAGGCAGAAGUCUUAAACAUCUUAGUAUCAUUUUGUCCAGUAUUAUUCUGUUCUGCAAGAUAAUGUGUUAUCAAUACUUCAUAAGAUAACUGUGGGCAGAGAAUGGAUAAAAUUCAUAGUUGCUUUCAAACUGCUCUCUUUUUUAGGGUGUGGGUCAUAGAUCAUACAGCUGUCAGCCAAUAGAUAAUCUUGAUGACUAAAAUGAAGCUAACAGCGAAAAAGGUGUCUCGUGUCUAAAACACAUAGAAAGGACUUAGUAAAUUAUAGCCCAGAAAAUUAAGGGGUGAAAAGAUUUCAGGCUUAUUUGUUUACAAGCAAAAACAGUGCCAUUUUAUCUGUUUGAGGAAUUUUCCUCAUCACCUCGGGAAGUGAAAAUUUGCUUUUUCUUUUUUCAGAAAUGAAUGCUGGCAUGAUUGUGUAAUUUGUGUAACCUGUUACUUGAGUUCAUUGACCUUGAUUGCAAUUUACACCAGCAAUAGACUCCUCAGGACACCUUUCUAAGCCGAUGGGCUAAACGCGUUGCAGUUUCUCCACUAACGUUCCCGAGACCCCAGAAUUAUCAUUGAC